UUCCUGGUGGUCCAGUGGCUAAGACUCUGUGCUCCCAAUGCAAUGGGCUUAGGUUCAAUUCCUGGUUGGGGAA
rnacentral:tRNA from 1 species